rnacentral:sRNA from 12 species
UCUUUUUGUAGAUAUCAAUGAGAUAUACUAUGAACCAACAAGCAGUGAAUUAACGUUUAAGCGUACUUUGAGUACGUCUCUUGUUGGGAAACAAUCAAAUAAAACUUUAAAGACUAGGUAUAAACUUAGUCUUUUUUAUUUUAA